CCCUUCAUUUCCACUCGACUGAAACAUAUCACUCAGAUCCAAAACACUAGCACAAAUCGCCGUUGAACCACUCAAAUUGCAGGAGCAAGAAAUAUCAUACAGAAAGAGAUAAGAGAUGAGAGAGAGUAAAGCUUUUACUUUCGCUCUCUAUCGGUCUUAUCUCCACCGCUUCUCCCUGAUCUGUCUCUUUCUUGCUUUAUCCGGCGACGGUCCUUUGCCGGUGAUGUGAGAUGCUGAACGUUUUUCAAAGCCCUUUUUCUAUUCUCUCCAUACGAGGAGAGAUAGAAACGGAGAGCUUGAGGUGUUGCCCUGCCGUUGCCGGUGGCUCCGGUUGUCUGUGGCGGCGGCGGACGUCCAGUUUGCGACGCCUCUGUUGUUCUCCGGUUAUAGCUUUGAAUCUUUUGGUUGGCAUGGAUGUUAAUGGGAUCGUGAUGGUGUGUUUCUGAGUCUCGACAUGGAUUAUGUUCAAGCCUACGAUGAUUCUGAGCCUCAAGGGUGUAAACUCUAUAUUUUUUUCUUUCGAUUUUUUUUCGUGCACAAUGCAAUGCCUCUUCUGUUCUCUGGUUAUGGUUUUAUUCUUUAUUUUUUAUAUUACCUAGAAGUUUAUAAGACCGUGAUGAUAAGACCCUAUUUUUUCUGGUUUGCAUCGAUGUUUAUAAGACGGUGAUGAUGUGCUUCUGACUCUGGAUCUGGAUUAUGUUGAAGCCUAUGAUGAAUCUAAAAUGGUCUAUUUUUACGGGAUUUAUGCCGGAGGCUAUGAUGAAUUUGAGCCUCAUGGAUGCUGCAGGACAGAAUGUUUGAGAUGGAAGCAAAUUAGUUUGUUUAUUUAUGUUUCCAAGGAAAGUUUUGUCCUUGGUAACAUUGUCCUCACAUUGAUCGGAAAGAAACUCCCGAGUGUUUAACGCCAGGAGUCCCUUGAUAAUGGAGGUGUAUUGAAGUUUAUGGUACGUCUAGCUAUUGUUGUAAAAGCUUUGGUGGUGGUUUUUGUUCCAACAUCUUGCUGGGAUAUGUGACGGAUGAUGAGGUGUAUACGUAGUCAUAAAAAAGACUUUAAGAAAACCGUACAUGUGCGCUCUGCCACAACCUCCGUGUACUUACGUGUAAAACACACACCCCCGCGUUGCGGGGGCUUUAAUGGAAGUUUGGAUUUGUUGAGACGCAGAAGGAAGAUAUGCCACUGGAGCAUGUCAGGAAGAUUAUCAAGUUGAUAGAAGAUACAAACAAUAUUAUCAUCAAAUGCAGAUAAUUAUAUCAUCAUUUCAAGUAAUUGCUGAAGGUGGAGCAGCAAAAACCUACACAUCACUCGCACUCGAGCCCAAUUCAUGCCGUUUUCGGUGCUUGAGAGAUGCAAUCGACAGCCAGGGUCGUCUCGUGCAACGCUCCAAAUGUGUUCAACAAAAUUCGCUCGAAGAUUGUAAUGUGUUGUAUUAUUUUUAAUUUCAUUUAAGUUCGCUUCUUGUUCUUCAUUACUUAAUUCUUCGGUGCUUGGUUGACUCGUCUCCUCGUAGUACUCGCAAAUUGCGCGUCCCUCAUCCACCGGAAUCAUGUUAUGCAAAAUAACCACGC